GGCGAACGGGUGAGUAAUACGUGAGUAACCUGCCCCUGACUCUGGGAUAAGCGUUGGAAACGACGUCUAAUACCGGAUAUGACUUACGGACGCAUGUUCUGUGGGUGGAAAGAUUUUCGGUUGGGGAUGGACUCGCGGCCUAUCAGCUUGUUGGUGAGGUAAUGGCUCACCAAGGCGACGACGGGUAGCCGGCCUGAGAGGGUGACCGGCCACACUGGGACUGAGACACGGCCCAG
rnacentral:rRNA from 1 species